GUUUGACUCCAUUUGAUGGCAGUGAGUGAUGGCGAGUAGGAAUGACAAGUAAUUGGCGGACAGCACAUCAUCUGCUGCUGAACGACAGCGCUGCAGCGUGUGGGUCUUGGAGAGAUCUUCAAGAAAACUGCAGAAAAAAAUAUCUGGGCAAAGAUGGAAGAGAGUUUUGAGAUGUUUGAGGAGGAGUUAGGCAGGCCAGAGCCUCCCCCUCAAAAGCCUGCAGACCAGUUCCAGAAAUGUAUGCUAAGGAAAGAAGAAUAACCCUACAGGAACAGACCAUGCCUUCUCAACAGGAGCCUCCAAUCUUGCAGCAGCAAGUCCCCAAGAUAAUGCCCAGAGAACCCAGUGUCCCCGGCAGAAGCAAAACCAUUAAAGGUCGACGGCCUGUGGAGGAAAAGGAGUAUGCUGAUGUGCUGACUGUGAGGCACUCUGCAUUGAGACACAAAGUCCAACCACAGGAGGUAGUGGCACAGGAACAAAAUACUCACCUGUCUCUCCGGGCUCAGAAUCCUCAUUCCCAACAUGGUAUGAAUUACAGGAGAUUUAUUGCAAAGUGCCACUCCUAAGGGCUGCAGUGUGUGCUGGUUUUCAUUUGCACUUUGCAAAUCAGCCACUGCUGCACUGGCGGUUAGCUGGAGCAUCCAAUCAAAUGGCUGGCUUCUCAAGGACAUUUCGGUGACACCGGGUGUGUAUGGAAUCAUACUUCUAUAAUAUUUAGUAGGUAUGAGUAUAUGUGAACAUUUAUUAGGUAGUAUACACAUUCAGUUAAUGCAUACACAUCCAGUGACAUUCAGUGAAAUAAUGUGUAUGUGACCUCUUAAUUCCUCAAAAACAUUUUUUUUAUUAUACCCCUGAAUCAGAGGAGGCUGGUGGGCGGAGCUAUAGGAGGAGGGGCUCAAUGUAAUGGCUGUAAUUAAAUAAAUGGAAAGGUAUCAAACAUAGAGUAACCAUGUUUGACUCGGAUCUAUUUAUUGAUUCCAGCCAUUAUAAUGUGCCCGCACUCAUGUCUCCUCUCACCAGACCUCUGUGUCUCGUCGAUGAUUGAUUGCUGAAGUUUGCAAACAAACUAUAUACUAUACGGAACACAAAAAUAAAUGCAACAUGUAACGUGUUUGUUUCAUGAGUUGAAGUAAAAGAUCCCAGAAAUGUUCUAUAUGCACAAAAAGCUUAUUUCUGUAAAACUUUGUGCACAAAUGUGUUUACAUCCCUGUUAGUGAGCCUUUCUCCUUUGCCAAGAUAAUCUAUCCACCUGACAGAUGUAGCAUAUCAAAAAGCUGAUUAAACAGCAUGACCACCUUGCAGUGGAGACAAUAAAAGGCCACUCUAAAAUGUACAGUUUUGUCACACAACACAAUGCCACAUAUGUCUAAAGGUUUUGGGGGACCGUGCGAUUGGCAUGUGAUUGGCAUGCAUUUCUUUACCAUAAGCCACCUCCAAUGUCAUUUUGGAGAAUCUGGCAGUACGUCUACCUUGCCUCACAACCGCAGACCACGUGUAACCACGCCAGCCCGGGACCUCCACAUCCGGCUUCUGCACCUGCGGGAUCGUCUGAGACCAGCCAUCUGGACAGCUGAUGAAACUGUGGGUUUGCGCAACCGAAGAAUUUCUUCACAAACUGUCAGAAACCGUCUCAAGAAAGCUCAUCUGCGUGCUCGUCGUCCUUACCAGGGUCUUGACCUGACUGCAGUUUGGCAUUGUAACUGACUUCAGUGGGCAAAUGCUCACCAAAUGCUCACCUUUGAUGGCCACUGGCAUGCUGGAGAAGUGUGCUCUUCACGGAUUAAUCCAAGUUUCAACUGUACCGGGCAGAUGGCAGACAGCGUGUAUGGCGAGCGUUUUGUAGGCGAGCAUUUUGCUGACGUGAACAUUGUGAACAGAGUGUGCCAUGGUGGCGGUGGGGUUAUGGUAUGGGCAGGCUGGAUUGACCAGCGUGUUCCAGUUCCCGCCAAUAAUCAACAGCUUUGAAGAGCCAUUGAAGAGGAGUGGGACAACAUUCCACAGGCCACAAUCAACAGCCUGAUCAACUCUAUGCGGUGGUCACAACAGAUACGGACUGGUUUUCUGAUCCACGCCCCUACCUUUUUUUAAAGGUAUCUGUGACCAACAGAUUUAAAUCUGUAUUCCCAGUCAAGUGUAAUCCAUAGAUUAGGGCCUAAUUUAUUUAUUUAAAUUGACUGAUUUCCUUAUAUGAACUGUAACUCAGUAAAAUCUUGGAAAAUGUUGCAUUUUUAUAUAACGUAGUAAUGACCAUUUCCUGUUUCCUCCAGCCUGAGACCUCUUUGUAUGAGGUGUUGUUCUGGUGGUUACCUGACUUUAAUGAGGAAGAUGAUGACAGGGAAACCAAACAAGGUCAAUUGAAGAAGGGGGUCAGAGAGAGGUCCCUGAAGGGCCUGAGAAGCAGGGGAACACCAGAGAGAAUACUUUCCAAAGGCAGAGAAGGGGAGGAAAAGAGGGCAAGGAGAGAGAGGGAAGAAGAAACUAAGCUGAAGAAAAAGGGAAAACAGGUCAAGCUGAGAGGGGAGGAAAAAUAAGUGGUGGAAAAUGGAGGAGGAAGUUAAACCCAUGAUACAAAAGGUUAAGAAAUGAAAAGCCAGCAAAUCAUAGGAGGGAAAAUGGCAUGCAGUCUGAUGAAGAAUUAAGUAAAGGAAUACAACAGUAGUUCUACAUAAUAGUAAAAUAAGGUAACGUUGAUGGGCAUCAUUGUGAACACAUUAUGGGUUCUCUGCACAAAUGAAUGUUCCAACUAUAAUUGCUGCUGGCUCUUUGGCAGCCAUUGCAAGUGCCAGUCAGAAGAGAAGCAUGACUAUUUCCCAGUCUGCCAUGUCUUUGUUGCUUAGAAUAUUGUUCAGUGAUGCCGUUUUGAAAAUGUUGGUUUGUAAUUAUAAAGUUGAGCAAGACGUCUCAUUUGAGUAAUUGUCUGGGUGCUAUUGUAAACCAACAUGUCCUCUAUGCUUGUCAUUUUUCAAUGUAUUGUUAUUUGGACCCUUGAUUGUUGUUACUGUUAUUCCAUUGACAGUAUUAUUAUUUUAAUUGUUAAUGUUGUAAAUCUCCAGAGUAAGCUUUGGCAAUAUGCACAUUGUUACAUCAUGCCAAUAAAGCAAAUUGAAUUGCUUUAUUGGGGACUCUUUGUAGGGACUAUGGGAAUGUUUCAGAUUGCCUAUAACUGCUGGGAAACUGUUACAAAAAAAUAAAAAAUGCAUUAAUCUGAAAUCCUUUUUUUGCUACCCUAAUUGUCAAUAAAGCUUUCCCUGUUAUGUAUCAUA